GACGAACGCUGGCGGCGCGCCUAACACAUGCAAGUCGAACGGAGCCGAGAUACUCUUGCUUUUCUUAGCUUAGUGGCGAACGGGUGAGUAACGCGUGAUUAACCUUCCCUUUAGUGGUGGACAACAGUUAGAAACUCCUGCUCAUACCGCAUAAGCCCACUAUCCGGCAUCGUAUUGAGUGUAAAGGAUUUAUUCGCUUCAGGCUGGACUCGCGUCCAAUUAGCUAGUUGUUGAGUUAACGGCCCACCAAGGCGAAGAUUGGUAGCCGGACGGAGAGGGUGAAAGGGGACAUUGGGAAUGAGACACGGCCCAGACGGAUGCGGGAGGGAGGAGUGGGGGAUAAUGCACAAAGGGGGAAACCAGGAUGGAGCGAAGCCGGGUGGAGGAAGAAGGUUUGCGGAUUGUAAACGCCUGUGGUUAGGGACGAUAAUGACGGUACCUAACAAGAAAGCACCGGCUAACUACGUG
rnacentral:rRNA from 1 species